UUGAAAUUGAUGAUAUUAUGAACAAUGAUCAAUUUUCUCUAAAAUUUCAGGACAACCCUUCGAUUCUGAAAUUAUGUCUGCUUAUGGACAUGAACAUAUGUAUUCUACAAGGAGUCUCUCAGCUGGUUCUGGUAUGAUCAACAAUUAUUAUCACCUUUGUUAGUUUUUUUUUUUAGUGUGUAACCCUCUAGAACUCAGGUUCUCCCGAACAACUUUUGGUAGAUUCUGUUCAUGAAUGAAUCAUCGUUUUAGUCUUUGG
rnacentral:lncRNA from 1 species